GCGCUAGGUUUGUGAGCACAAAUACUAAAAUUAGAAUGAUACAGAAAAGAUUAGCGCUACCCCUGUGCAGGGUGACAAGCAAAUUUGUGAGACAUUUCAUAAUUUG